UGCAAGUCGAACGGCAGCACGGGUGCUUGCACCUGGUGGCGAGUGGCGAACGGGUGAGUAAUACAUCGGAACGUACCUUAUCGUGGGGGAUAACGCAGCGAAAGCUGUGCUAAUACCGCAUACGCCCUGAGGGGGAAAGCGGGGGAUCGAAAGACCUCGCGCGAUUAGAGCGGCCGAUGCCUGAUUAGCUUGUUGGUGGGGUAAAAGCCCACCAAGGCGACGAUCAGUAGCUGGUCUGAGAGGACGAUCAGCCACACUGGGACUGAGACACGGCCCAGACUCCUACGGGAGGCAGCAGUGGGGAAUUUUGGACAAUGGGGGAAACCCUGAUCCAGCAAUGCCGCGUGAGUGAAGAAGGCCUUCGGGUUGUAAAGCUCUUUUGUCAGGGAAGAAACACCGGCUCUAACACAGUCCGGGAAUGACGGUACCUGAAGAAUAAGCACCGGCUAACUACGUGCCAGCAGCCGCGGUAAUACGUAGGGUGCGAGCGUUAAUCGGAAUUACUGGGCGUAAAGCGUGCGCAGGCGGUUAUACAAGACAGGCGUGAAAUCCCCGGGCUUAACCUGGGAAUGGCGCCUGUGACUGUAUAGCUAGAGUGUGUCAGAGGGGGGUAGAAUUCCACGUGUAGCAGUGAAAUGCGUAGAUAUGUGGAGGAAUACCAAUGGCGAAGGCAGCCCCCUGGGAUAACACUGACGCUCAUGCACGAAAGCGUGGGGAGCAAACAGGAUUAGAUACCCUGGUAGUCCACGCCCUAAACGAUGCUGACUAGUUGUUCGGGAUUUACAUCCUGAGUAACGUAGCUCACGCGUGAAGUCAGCCGCCUGGGGAGUACGGUCGCAAGAUUAAAACUCAAAGGAAUUGACGGGGACCCGCACAAGCGGUGGAUGAUGUGGAUUAAUUCGAUGCAACGCGAAAACCUUACCUACCC
rnacentral:rRNA from 1 species